UACGUAGGGGGCAAGCGUUGUCCGGAUUUAUUGGGCGUAAAGAGCGUGUAGGCGGCUAGAUAGGUCCGUUGUGAAAACUCGAGGCUCAACCUCGAGACGCCGGUGGAAACCAUCUAGCUAGAGUCCGGAAGAGGAGAGUGGAAUUCCUGGUGUAGCGGUGGAAUGCGCAGAUAUCAGGAGGAACACCGAUGGCGAAGGCAGCUCGCUGGGACGGUACUGACGCUGAGGCGCGAAAGCGUGGGGAGCGAACAGG
rnacentral:rRNA from 1 species